rnacentral:rRNA from 1 species
UGGGGAAUCUUGCACAAUGGGGGAAACCCUGAUGCAGCGACGCCGCGUGAGCGAUGAAGGUUUUCGAAUCGUAAAGCUCUGUCCUAUGGGAAGAUAAUGACGGUACCAUAGGAGGAAGCCCCGGCUAACUACGUGCCAGCUGCCGCGGUAAUACGUAGGGGGCGAGCGUUGUCCGGAAUUACUGGGCGUAAAGGGUUCGCAGGCGGCAUGACAAGUCCGAUGUAAAAGGCGAAAGCUCAACUUUCGUAAGCAUCGGAAACUGUCAAGCUUGAGUGAAGGAGAGGCAAGUGGAAUUCCUAGUGUAGCGGUGGAAUGCGUAGAUAUUAGGAGGAAUACCGGUGGCGAAGGCGACUUGCUGGACUUCAACUGACGCUGAGGAACGAAAGCGUGGGUAGCAAACAGG